rnacentral:rRNA from 1 species
GGAAAGUUGAAAAGUACUUGAAAAGAGAGUGCAAAAGAACGCGAAACCGGUGUAAUGGAAGCAUAUGGAGUUGUCGUAUCUGGUGUGUGUUCAGCUGUCGGGCGUGCCGAUUGCUGGGUUUGGCAUUCCGCAAGGUUGUCGGCUCGGUAUUGUCGGUGGGUUCGGCGGUGCAUUCACGCACGGAGUGCGCCGAGUCGCGUGGCGCUGUCGAUCGAAGCGCGUUAAGAGGACUUGUCUUCGGGCGAGAACCCUUGGCGUGUGUAGGUCGGUUGGUGCUGCGUGAUUUCGUGGAGGCACGGGCUUGUCGCGCUGUCAGGCGGCGAUUGUAGUGGUUCGCGUUGGACACAUGUGUACUGCGCUUAUGAUUGCGGUCGUCGUCGGGCGGUGCUCUGUGCUCUUCUCGGUGUAUAGACAAUGACCCAUUUGACCCGUCUUGAAACACGGACCAAGGAGUUUAUGGUAUACGCGAGUCAUUGGGCUUGGAAACCCAUAGGCGUAAUGAAAGUGAGACCUUACUGGUUUUAAUGUGAUCGUUGGUUGUUUCGACGGCCGGCGAGCAACAUUGCCCCGUUUCGAGGACUUGUCCUGUUGCGGAGGUUGAGCGUAUGCUAUGAGACCCGAAAGAUGGUGAACUAUGCCUGAGCAGGAUGAAGCCAGAGGAAACUCUGGUGGAAGUCCGAAGCGGUUCUGACGUGCAAAUCGAUCGUCUGACUUUGGUAUAGGGGCGCAAGACUAAUCGAACAUCUAGU